GGUUUUUGUUUAAGAAGAGACGUUAGAAAGACAUUAGUCUCACAUGCAUGUCAGAUGUAACGUCUCCUUCAUCAUUACUGUUGAUGCACAUUAGAAGACUUUCUGACUGGCUGUGCAGCAGGACUGGAUGUGAUGAUGGAUCACUCUUUUCUCUGUGUGCUGGGGUUAUUCUUGCUUCGUACGUCCAUUGAUGCAAAUGCUGAAGCCAAAGCCACUCUGACAGCAGACAGUUCAAUCCUACCAGCAGGGGGCAGUGUGACUCUGACCUGUUCUCUGAAGAUUCCUGCAGGACUCAGUUAUGAGCUGUACAGAAAUAAUCACAUCAAACAUUCUGAUAAACCAGGAGGAGUUUUCAAGAUCUCAGA